rnacentral:rRNA from 2 species
UACGUAGGGUGCGAGCGUUGUCCGGAAUUACUGGGCGUAAAGAGCUCGUAGGCGGUUUGUCACGUCGUCUGUGAAAUCCUCCAGCUUAACUGGGGGCGUGCAGGCGAUACGGGCAGACUUGAGUACUACAGGGGAGACUGGAAUUCCUGGUGUAGCGGUGAAAUGCGCAGAUAUCAGGAGGAACACCGGUGGCGAAGGCGGGUCUCUGGGUAGUAACUGACGCUGAGGAGCGAAAGCAUGGGUAGCGAACAGG